UACGGGGGGAGCAAGCGUUGUUCGGAAUCAUUGGGCGUAAAGCGCGUGUAGGCGGCUUGGCAAGUCGGUUGUGAAAGCCCGGGGCCCAACUCCGGAACUGCAUCUGAAACUGCCUGGCUAGAGUCCCGGAGAGGAAGGCAGAAUUCCCGGUGUAGGGGUGAAAUCCGUAGAUAUCGGGAGGAAUACCAGCGGCGAAGGCGGCCUUCUGGACGGUGACUGACGCUGAGACGCGAAAGCGUGGGGAGCAAACAGG
rnacentral:rRNA from 1 species